rnacentral:rRNA from 1 species
UACGUAGGGGGCAAGCGUUGUCCGGAUUUAUUGGGCGUAAAGAGCGUGUAGGCGGCUUUACAGGUCCGUUGUGAAAACUCGAGGCUCAACCUCGAGCUGUCGGUGGAAACUGUCUGGCUAGAGUCCGGAAGAGGAGAGUGGAAUUCCUGGUGUAGCGGUGAAAUGCGCAGAUAUCAGGAAGAACACCUAUGGCGAAGGCAGCUCUCUGGGACGGUACUGACGCUGAGACGCGAAAGCGUGGGGAGCGAACAGG